CCUGAAAUCUUCCUUAGGCUGAGCCCUUGCUGGAGACCAACCAAGCUGAGAUCAGGAUCUGAUAAACAUCUCAAAGCAGGGCCAAGUUUUGACUUUAUGGAUCGAACAUAUUCCCUUGUGCUGUGCUCUGGGGAGGUGUUUGAAAAUGUUCGAGAUGUAGAAGGUUAUGCUCAGCGCUAACAUUCUCGGAGCCUGGGAUGAGAGGACACAUGGAGUCACACACUGAAUGGCUAAUCCUUUUCGCCACUCCCACCCCACGUCACUGUCAAGCGUGUGCAUCCUCUGUGACGGCACUUCACGGCCUGCACACCUGGGACCAGUCCGUUUUGUGAAGGAACAGAGGACAAGUGGCUUGGCCUCCAGAGACGUUAGUUACCAGCAGCGACUUUCAGGUGACAGGUCAUGCUGUACCCAAUCCCAAGUGACAGA